UACGUAGGCAGCGAGCGUUGUUCGGAAUUACUGGGCGUAAAGAGCGUGUAGGCGGUUCUUUAAGUUUGGUGUGAAAUCUCCCGGCUCAACUGGGAGGGUGCAUCGAAAACUGGAGUGCUCGAGGGUGGGAGAGGUAAGCGGAAUUCCUGGUGUAGCGGUGAAAUGCGUAGAUAUCAGGAGGAACACCUGUGGUGUAGACAGCUUACUGGACCGCUUCUGACGCUGAGACACGAAAGCGUGGGUAGCAAACAGG
rnacentral:rRNA from 1 species